rnacentral:rRNA from 1 species
UCAGUGGCGAACGGGUGAGUAACACGUGAGCAACCUGCCCCUGACUCUGGGAUAAGCGCUGGAAACGGCGUCUAAUACUGGAUAUGUGACGUGACCGCAUGGUCUGCGUUUGGAAAGAUUUUUCGGUUGGGGAUGGGCUCGCGGCCUAUCAGCUUGUUGGUGAGGUAAUGGCUCACCAAGGCGUCGACGGGUAGCCGGCCUGAGAGGGUGACCGGCCACACUGGGACUGAGACACGGCCCAGACUCCUACGGGAGGCAGCAGUGGGGAAUAUUGCACAAUGGGCGCAAGCCUGAUGCAGCAACGCCGCGUGAGGGAUGACGGCCUUCGGGUUGUAAACCUCUUUUAGCAGGGAAGAAGCGAAAGUGACGGUACCUGCAGAAAAAGCGCCGGCUAACUACGUGCCAGCAGCCGCGGUAAUACGUAGGGCGCAAGCGUUAUCCGGAAUUAUUGGGCGUAAAGAGCUCGUAGGCGGUUUGUCGCGUCUGCUGUGAAAUCCCGAGGCUCAACCUCGGGCCUGCAGUGGGUACGGGCAGACUAGAGUGCGGUAGGGGAGAUUGGAAUUCCUGGUGUAGCGGUGGAAUGCGCAGAUAUCAGGAGGAACACCGAUGGCGAAGGCAGAUCUCUGGGCCGUAACUGACGC